CAGAGAAGAAAUAAAGCAAGUCACUUGCAACAGAUGAGGAAUCAGAAUGACUUCACACUAGCAAUGCUGGAAGUGAGGAAACAGUGGUGACAUACCUUCAACAUUCUGCAGAAUAAUUUCCUACCUACAGUUUUAUCCUCAGUUAAAAUCUCAAUCAAGGGUGAGAGUAGAAUAAGAACAUUUAGAAACAUUCAAGGUCUCAGAGAAAAUCUGCCUCUCAUGAGCCAUCUCUCUGGUGGAGUGCUCCACCCAGUGAGGGACAGAGACCAAGAAAGAGGUCUGCUUGGAACCAGGAAGCUCCUUCACAAAGAAGAGACAAAGGGAAUUCCUAAGAGGAUAGUAAUGGGAUGUGUCUGGAGAACAGCUGUGCAGUGAGCAGGAUGAACACAGUCCAGACAGGAGCAGGGCAGACCUGUCCAGGAGAGUCUUGUUCUGUCACCCAGCCUGGAGUGCAGCCGCACUGUCUCAGCUCACUGCAACCUCUAUCCCCCUCAAGUGAUUCUCCUGCCUCAGCCUCCUGAGUAGCU
rnacentral:lncRNA from 10 species